rnacentral:tRNA from 1 species
GGGGGUUCCCGAGCGGCCAAAGGGAGCAGACUGUAAAUCUGCCGUCAUCGACUUCGAAGGUUCGAAUCCUUCCCCCACCACCA